rnacentral:rRNA from 1 species
GACGAACGCUGGCGGCGUGCCUAAUACAUGCAAGUAGAACGCUGAAGAGAGGAGCUUGCUCUUCUUGGAUGAGUUGCGAACGGGUGAGUAACGCGUAGGUAACCUGCCUUGUAGCGGGGGAUAACUAUUGGAAACGAUAGCUAAUACCGCAUAACAAUGGAUGACACAUGUCAUUUAUUUGAAAGGGGCAAUUGCUCCACUACAAGAUGGACCUGCGUUGUAUUAGCUAGUAGGUGAGGUAACGGCUCACCUAGGCGACGAUACAUAGCCGACCUGAGAGGGUGAUCGGCCACACUGGGACUGAGACACGGCCCAGACUCCUACGGGAGGCAGCAGUAGGGAAUCUUCGGCAAUGGGGGCAACCCUGACCGAGCAACGCCGCGUGAGUGAAGAAGGUUUUCGGAUCGUAAAGCUCUGUUGUAAGUCAAGAACGAGUGUGAGAGUGGAAAGUUCACACUGUGGCGGUAGCUUACCAGAAAGGGACGGCUAACUACGUG